AUUGAACGCUGGCGGCAGGCCUAACACAUGCAAGUCGAACGAGUGGCGGACGGGUGAGUAAUGUCUGGGAAACUGCCUGAUGGAGGGGGAUAACUCCUGGAAACGGUAGCUAAUACCGCAUACCAUCAGAUGUGCCCAGAUGGGAUUAGCCAGUUGGUGGGGUAACGGCUCACCAAGGCAACUGUCCCUAGCUGGUCUCAGAGGAUGACCAGCCACACAGUAACUGAGACACGGUCCAGACUCCUACGGGAGGCAGCAGUGGGGAAUAGUGCACAAUGGGCGCAAGCCUGAUGCAGCCAUGCCGCGUGUAUGAAGAAGGCCUUCGGGUUGUAAAGGACUUUCAGCGGGGAGGCGUUACCCGCAGAAGAAGCACCGGCUAACUCCGUGCCAGCCGCCGCGGUAAUUC
rnacentral:rRNA from 1 species